GCGUGGGUUUGGGUUUAUGGCAGGUGCACCCCCUGGGUCUCUCUCAGAGCGCGUGCCAGAGCAAACCCUGGCCUGGAACCCUCAUCUGGCCUCGGCCCGUGGGCUGCGGGCGCUGAAACAGGUUACACAGUG